rnacentral:lncRNA from 1 species
GGCGUCGUCAGUGCAAAUGGCAUUUUGUGUUGAGUAGAAAAGGGAACCUCGCAGAAAUUCACACAUAAGUCAGAUAGGUAUUUUUUAAGUUUCGGGGAGGUGUUCUGGAACUUUUCGCUUUUUUCUUUUGUAAUUUUUUUUUUUUAAAUGUUAAGGGAGCCACGGUUCUGAUUCUCUUUGCCCAGCAUUUGUCACUUCGUCAUGCAAUGUAGCGUGCUAACUUUGUGUGCUUUUUUACAUGGUAACUUUUUUAAGUCAUGGACUCUUUGAGUUCUUCCUGAACUCUUGGUGCCCAGGUCCAUCUUAAAAUCUCCGUUUUCAGUAUUGCUGUGUGUGCAGUAACCAGAACACAUAUUAUAUGCAUAGCUAUGAAAUCUGCACUGCCUUUUGGGUGUUUUUUUUUUUUCCCCUCGGUCCUCUUUCUUUCCUAUGAAUACCUCUUGGGAAGUGUUUCCAGGAGGUUACUUUAUUUUGCUGCUACUGUGAGCAUUAGCAGGUAACUUGCAAGUCUGGAGGCCAUGUGUAUUGAGGGUAGCUGGAAUCCUAGGCCCUUACGGUGUUGAAGACUCACGUAUUCAGCCUCGUGGAAGUUACCCUCGUGCUCCAUGACAUUCACUUCACGUUGCCCAUUGCACUUGAACCUGCACCUCGCUAGGUGUCCUCGUUUCGCUGUGUAGGCAUCUCAGUUCCCAAAGCAGCCUUACCCUCCUCCUCUGCUGUGAUCGCCUGUGACAUCAUUGCUUCCAGCAGCACAUCCACAGCCUGAUCCGAGUUUAGCCACCGUUAGUCUUCCUGUGGCUCCUGUAUUCCCUGGGAAGAAAAAAAAAAAUGCACCAAACACGGGAUCUUCGAUGUCAGGAAUUGAAUGUUUGUCUAAUUUGAACCUCUCCUCUUCCUUUAAUAGGUAGAUCUCAUUUGAAAUUUCAUAUCCGAAACUCUGAAACCGUCUCAGAAUCGUCGUUUGACCACACAGAGUGUUUUAAUAACACUUUUGGGGGGAGGGAGCUAUAAACAGUUCAGCAUUAAUGGAAUCUAUUUGAAUUUCCACAGUGGUGAAUAUUUUUAUUCUUGGGUCCUCCAGGAAUGGAUUUUCUGUUAUGUCUGGUGUCUUUUUAAAACAACAACAACAACAAAACUGAAAACAACAACAACAACAAACAAAAAGCCUCUACAAACUCCAUUAAUUUUCCAUGGGAUCCAGAAAUAAACUUUCCAUAUCUGUAAACUGUAUGUCUGUGGAGUUUAGUUCUUGUUUUAGAUUUAAACAGAAAAAAAUCAGGAAGUAUUAUGGCAGUGUCUAGGCAUCUUUAGGCUAUUAUAUUUCUGUGCUUGGUCAGCAUGAAAAUUUCAGCCAUAAUUAAGAGGUAAAACCUCUAAGCCGCAGAGAAGAUAUUUUUGCCCAUAAGUUUGGAGAUGCUCUUUGAUGUGAAGUAUCUUACGGAAAAAUUGUUACUUGGUUCAAUUCAGUUUUUCUGGAGUGAGGGACUUGAUUUUUUUCUUUCUUUCUUUCUUUUCUUUUCCCAGUGCUGUUUGGCACAAUGAGCUUAUAUGUGUUUGGGGUUAAAAAUCACCUGCAAAGGAUGGUAGCCCAGGGUUUUGGGUGGACAGCCUGGUGGGCCUGAUUAGAGCUGUCAUUUCCUGGUCGUCACGAAAUAACCACCCACAGUAGCAUUGCGUAUGUAGUGUAGGUGAGCUUUCUUAAAGCUUUGUAUUCUCGAUUUCUUUUCCUGUAAACAUCCAGUGUACUGAGUCUGUAUCAUUCCUUAAGACAGCCCUAUAGCUUGCCUUUGUAAUCCCUUCUAUAAUGUGGAAGGAAGCACAAAGAAACUCUUAAACUCAUGUGCUCUCAAGACUAUCUCCCGUGUUUGUUUUUUUGUUUUUUUUUUUUUUCUUUUUGGUGUUUGGGUUUUGUUUUGUUUUGUUUUUGUAUUUCCUCAUCCUGAAAGCAGCCUAAUUGAAAGUAGAUCAUGCUACACUGGACCAAUAGAAAUGGACGUGCGGGGAAUUCCCUUGUGGCACAGUGGAUCCGGAGUUGUCACGGCAGCAGCUCAGCAGCUCAGGUCGACACUGGCGUGGGUUCGCGAUCCCUGACCCUGGGAGCUUCCACAUGCUGCAGGUGUGGCCAAAAAAAAAAAAAAAAGAGAAAGAAAUGGACGUGGGUAGAUAUUGUUGUUAUCUGUGAAGCUGCCCUGACCUCUCCUGUCAUUCAUCUUUCAUCAUUCAUUCCUUCAUUCUGCAAACAUUUCGUUGAGGGCCUGCCUUGCUUGGAAAGGCCAUCUGAGAGCUUCAGGAGUUUGCUGUAGCUGAGGCGCCCUGGGAGCGGCUGGUGAACCAGGGGAUGCUAGUAGCUAAGGCUGUCCUAGGUGGAGCCGCAGUCCUCCCGAGCGGAAAGAUCAAAUGGAUCCUGGUGAUCGGCGGAGGCUCGUGGGCUUCCUGAGCACGUCUCUUCUGUCCUGGAAACCAAAAGUGCCCUUCAUUUUUGGAGACAUUUUUAAUGUCACAUCUUCUUUUUCAGACCGAGCUGUCUGCCCCGUAGGGGCUGGAAAUCCAUUACGAGGUCACUUUGCAUUAGAAUGUGGUCACCUGGGUUGGUAGGCGAUUUGCAGAGAUUUCUGGGGAUGGGGAUGGGGGUGGGGAGGAAAGCAGUCAGCCCUCUAAAAGAGCUGUCACGACAAAACACAGCAGCAGAGUGGAAAGGCGACCGCGGUGGCCGCCUUGAGGAACCGUGGAGCCGAAGAGCCGUGAACAACGCUCCUCUAUUUCAAAUAAUAUGUUUUGAAACGUAGAUGCACAUCGGACGUCAAGUUUCCUUUUGGACAAAUUAGUGACCAGCUGCAGUUAGCAGUUAGUUUCCUGUGUAGGUGACAGGAACUCUGGGAUGCAAAGAUCACCAGUGUCUCCAGGUCGGGUAUUUGAGACAGUAUGCACAUCAUAAGCACAGUUUCAAUAAAACGCAUAUUCUGUGAGGCGCGUCGCACUUUGUCUUAUUUGGAAUUUGAGAAGAGCAAAACUUGCUGACAAACCAGUGCCUAUGUCGUCAACAUAAACACACAAGAUCACUGUUCCUGCGCAGGCAGCCUUUGCUUUCACAAAGGGGUUCUCUCGUGGUCACAAGGGAAGAAUGUGGCUUCUAAUAGUGCUAACAAUUUUCAAACACUUUUGUAGAGACUUAGAGCUGUUCUGGAAAGCUUCGGAGCUUCCCAGCCACGGGUCACGAGGACGCUGUGGAGCUUGCGGUAGCGUUGACAGUGGACUUGGUUCUAGAGUCACCUCACAUUCAUAUGAAACCAGUGUUUGCCGAUUUGGGGGAGCAGGCAGAUCUCUCGCAGCCUUUUUCAAACCUCACACGUGUACUCUCCCCUGGGUUCUGUCAAGCCUUUUCUGCAGUCUUGAGAUUCUGGUACCCAACACCCACUAGAAUCAUCGAGGGAACUUUAAAAAAACGCCUGGGUCCCACUCCCCAACUUUUGAUCUAGUUAGUGUAGGGCAGGGCCCAGGAAUUCCCGUAUGCAUGUAAAGCUCCUAGCUCUUUCUGCUUUGCAGUCAGACCUGAGAACCGCUGUGGCAACACCCUGCCUUGGCUGAGAACUGCCGUGGGAAGGCCCCGGGAGCGACUCUUGUUUCCUCUGUUGCUUUGGAGAAAGAAGAAAAGAUGGUGAGCUUCUGACAUCAACCCUGUCUGAGACAAGGGGGGCUUCUGCUUCGAGCUCUGAUUCAGGAGCUCAGAGCUUGCCCGCCUGGUGGGAGCCGGGGGUCUUGAGUUUGCUGGAACCAGCAGGAGUGUCCAGGGCGGGGGUGGGGGUUGCAUCCUUCCCAGGACUUUUUCUCUGGGCCAGACCCUUGUGGGAGGAAGGCAGUCGUCCAGAAAUGCUGAGCCAAGGCUUCCAGUGGCUUUGGAAAACCCGUCCUUGAUUUCAAUAAACCGAUGGUCACUUUGUUGUCAUUAUAAUAGCAAACCCUAGGCUGCUGCCCAGUGUCCUUCCUCUGUAGCUCACUCUGCUGUCUAGAAUGAAGUUUCAGGACUUUUGCUUUCUUUCUGUCUGUCUGUCUUUUUCGUUUAAAAGUGAAUGUGAAGCAUUUUAUGGGGGGUCUUUUUUUUCUUUGGCACCCUGGGUAUUUUUUUCAUGUCUUUAAAAAAAAUCAAAUCAUAGUGCGCCCCACCUCGGGCCGUCUCUGUCACCUAUGGAGGCAGAUGAAAUUUAGUUUUAAUCUGUGGUGAGCUGAGUGCACGACAAUGUCUUCACGAUAAGCUGCUGUGCUCCUCUGGCGGUUUCCCCCUGUGGAGGAGGAUGCUGUCUUGAAAAAAAAAAAAAAAAA